CCAGGCAGACCCGGAGGCGGCUGCCAACCCCUGCGGCGCCCGCUUUCCCCUCGGCCUGCGGGCUGGGGUUGGGAGGUGCAGAGUCGCGUGCAGCUCGCCUCCUGCAGGGAAGAGGCCCCGCAGGAUGGACUGAAGGUGUGGAAUUGACCGGUCUUUCCAUCCAGGACUCACUGGUGGCCAUCACACUGUGAUACUAGUUCCAUAUAACGCCAUCUCCCACAGAGAAAACAGAAUUACUAAACAUGCUGAUUUUUUACAGAUACUAAGGUGCGAUGACAAAGGAACCGAGAUCGAGGGCAGAAUUCUUGCCAUUCUUGCCAUUCUCUGCCAUGGCCAGUGGCCAUGAACUGAGGCUCAAGAAGUUUGCUCAAGUCAUGGCAGGGCAGACAACAUUGAUGUCCCUUCAGGCACCAGUCAGGCCUUUCCCUGGAUGGGAGAUCUCCUGACUCAGCAGUAACAGGCUCUGAGACUAGCCGAAUCCACCACCAGCACUGCAGACAACUGUUUCUGCCCCAAUCUAGUCGGUAAUGAGUCACCCAGAAAGCCGUAAGUGCUUUGCUAUUGAAAGAACCUAGGUCUGGAGUAGAUGACCCAAUUUCCUUGGAAAGAAGAAAUCAUGUCUAUGAGUUCUGGGAGUACUUAUUGGGCACCUACUCUGUGCCAGGCAGAAUUCUAGGAGACCCAUAGAAGAGCCCUAUUCCUCCCAAACCUUCUGGACUAGCUGCGACCAAACAAUGGGCUUCCGCCUCUAGAAUUCAUCAUCCAAGAAUCCAUCAGAUACUUACUGACAGGCUGAGAGAAUAGAAACGAAUUGGACUGCCACAUGAGGUGACAUAAACAAUGUAGAGUACCAGCCCAGUGCCUGACAUGCACCAGGCCACCUAGAUGCUCAGCAGUUUCUUUUUCUUACCCCACUAUGUGUCAUUCAUUGGCCGUGCAAGUCCCCAUGAGGAAACAAAAAAAGCAGCAUCUGCAAGAUUCUGGAAAGUAAAAGCUCUGUGGACCUCCCAGCCCAGAGUUCCGGGGAUUUCCUUCAGCGUGUCCCAAAUCUCUAACCUUACACCCUAAUGGUCAUGGGUUCUUUAUUGGCUCUUCCUAAGAGAACUAAGGACAGUAGUAUUUGCAGAAGGCUAAAAGGAGGGAGGGAACUCACCAUGGUUUCUUGGGUUUCUGGCUCCAUAGGUCAGAGAUCUCAGUUGCAUUGCCGGUCCCAACAGCAGUCUAAUUUAUGCACGCCUUUGUCACUGAAUUCCCAUAGACACCAUUUAUGGUUGUCUCUCUAAUAUAUAUCAUAUACUAUAGCGUUCUCUAUUGUGCUUCUUUGUCCCCAUGUUAUUUCCUAUUGUCACACUGUGGUUUCAUCCCUCUUCCUUCCCCCACACGGGGCCUAGAACACCAUAGGUGCUCCAGUUCAAUCUUUGCUGAAUGAAACAAUGCGUUAGGCAAAUUCCAUCUCGGUGCCUCAGUUUCCCUCAUCAACCUGUAGGAGGCCCUGGAAGUCCAGUCCUUUGCCAUAGCCUACGUAAGCCUUUCCUAAGUCUUCUGACCACCCAAGGAGCCAGUGCUGGAGACACGGACGUGGCCAUCUAGCUCACAUGCCUCAGCCAGCAGCUCCCAGCCCUCACCAGGCCUACCUCUUCACCACCAGGGAAAGGUUGUUUGCCUCUAGGCCAGCUCCUGCCCCUCCCACUACACGCGGCUCAGGGGAGGAGAGAACACAGUUUCCCUCUAGCAGAAUCUCUAGUAAAGGACAGGCCUAGAGCACGCAGCAGUUUGUUUCCAUGCUCUGCCUCGUUCUCGGGUCUUAGGUGCCAAGUGAUGGAACAUCUGGCCUCUCUGGUGCCCUCUUUUUCAUCUUUUGGCAUAAAUCUUUACCCCAAAUUCCAGAGGAAAUCCAGGCAGGACCCUCAGAAGUCUUCACUUCCGAUUAUUACCCUGAGAUGGGUUCUGUGAGCAAGAGAUAGUCAUGCCUGCUAGCUGCCAAACCUGAGUCCUCCAAGGAGGGCCGCGAGCUCCCCCAGCUACCUCUAGCUCCCAGCAAAUCACA